ACUGUUUUGAAGAGAAAGCUAGUGAUAUAUUAGAGGUGGUGAGAUAGAGAAGGGAGAGGGGAGACAGAGAAAGAGUAAAAAGAGAGGAGAGAGGGGUAAAGUGUGUAGUGAAAGGAAGAGACUAUUGGCGGGUUUGGUACAACCGGUAUAUAUGGUAUUAUUAAGGUGGUAAAUACGCUAUUAGAAAUAGCGACCACUUGGUCCAGUUGUGAGGGUAGGAUGGACGUUUCACUAACACAAAAGUUAAUUUUCUGACAUUACCUGACCAGGUAACCAUGUAUUUUGCUCUCACCUGUGCACGCGGCCCUUUCGACCAGCAGCCUCAUUUCGACCAAAUAUCUCCAGUGUUGGAUACUGACGUUUCGAAUAUACCCACAGAUGCAGAGAUAUUACAUGUUAGCAAUCCUAUCCAGGAAAUACCUUCAUAUUACUUUCUCUCAGAUGUGCCAGAUCCGGAGGAUACUGAAGAUUACAACAAUUUAG